rnacentral:rRNA from 1 species
AACGAACGCUGGCGGCAGGCCUAACACAUGCAAGUCGAGCGAGACCUUCGGGUCUAGCGGCGGACGGGUGAGUAACGCGUGGGAACGUGCCCUUUGCUACGGAAUAGCCCCGGGAAACUGGGAGUAAUACCGUAUGUGCCCUUCGGGGGAAAGAUUUAUCGGCAAAGGAUCGGCCCGCGUUGGAUUAGGUAGUUGGUGGGGUAAUGGCCUACCAAGCCGACGAUCCAUAGCUGGUUUGAGAGGAUGAUCAGCCACACUGGGACUGAGACACGGCCCAGACUCCUAUGGGAGGCAGCAGUGGGGAAUCUUAGACAAUGGGGGAAACCCUGAUCUAGCCAUGCCGCGUGAGCGAUGAAGGCCUUAGGGUUGUAAAGCUCUUUCAGGUGGGAAGAUAAUGACGGUACCACCAGAAGAAGCCCCGGCAAACUCCGUGCCAGCCGCCGCAGUAA